GACGAACGCUGGCGGCGUGCUUAACACAUGCAAGUCGAACGGAAAGGCCCUGCUUUUGUGGGGUGCUCGAGUGGCGAACGGGUGAGUAACACGUGAGUAACCUGCCCUUGACUUUGGGAUAACUUCAGGAAACUGGGGCUAAUACCGGAUAGGAGCUCCUGCUGCAUGGUGGGGGUUGGAAAGUUUCGGCGGUUGGGGAUGGACUCGCGGCUUAUCAGCUUGUUGGUGGGGUAGUGGCUUACCAAGGCUUUGACGGGUAGCCGGCCUGAGAGGGUGACCGGCCACAUUGGGACUGAGAUACAGCCCAGACUCCUACGGGAGGCAGCAGUGGGGAAUAUUGCACAAUGGGCGGAAGCCUGAUGCAGCAACGCCGCGUGCGGCAUGACGGCCUUCGGGUUGUAAACCGCUUUCGCCUGUGACGAAGCGUGAGUGACGGUAAUGGGUAAAGAAGCACCGGCUAACUACGUG
rnacentral:rRNA from 1 species